rnacentral:rRNA from 1 species
AAAGUUGUUCUCAGUUCGGAUUGUAGUCUGCAACUCGACUACAUGAAGCUGGAAUCGCUAGUAAUCGUAGAUCAGCAUGCUACGGUGAAUACGUUCCCGGGUCUUGUACACACCGCCCGUCACACCACGAGAGUUUGUAACACCCGAAGCCGGUGGAGUAACCUUUUAGGAGCUAGCCGUCGAAGGUGGGACAAAUGAUUGGGGUGAAGUCGUAACAAGGUAGCCGUAUCGGAAGGUGCGGCUGGAUCACCUCCUUU